UACGUAGGUGGCAAGCGAUACUCGGAAUCACUAGGCGUAAAGCGCAGGUAGGAGGUUUAGUAAGUCUGUUGUGAAAGCUCCCGGCUUAACUGGGAGAGGUCAACGGAAACUGCUAGGCUAGAGUGCGGUAGAGGUAGCUGGAAUUCCCGGUGUAGCGGUGAAAUGCGUAGAUAUCGAGAGGAACACCUGCGGCGAAGGCGGGUAGCUGGGCCGACACUGACGCUGAGGCGCGAAAGCCAGGGGAGCGAACGGG
rnacentral:rRNA from 1 species